rnacentral:rRNA from 1 species
UACGAAGGGGGCUAGCGUUGCUCGGAAUUACUGGGCGUAAAGCGCACGUAGGCGGCUUUCUAAGUCGGGGGUGAAAUCCUGGAGCUCAACUCCAGAACUGCCUUCGAUACUGGAAAGCUCGAGUCCGGGAGAGGUGAGUGGAACUGCGAGUGUAGAGGUGAAAUUCGUAGAUAUUCGCAAGAACACCAGUGGCGAAGGCGGCUCACUGGCCCGGUACUGACGCUGAGGUGCGAAAGCGUGGGGGAGCAAAACAGG